AUUGAACGCUGGCGGCAGGCUUAACACAUGCAAGUCGAGCGAGCGGCGGACGGGUGAGUAAUGUCUGGGAAACUGCCUGAUGGAGGGGGAUAACUACUGGAAACGGUAGCUAAUACCGCAUACCAUCAGAUGUGCCCAGAUGGGAUUAGCUAGUAGGUGGGGUAAUGGCUCACCUAGGCGACGAACCCUAGCUGGUCUGAGAGGAGGACCAGCAACACGUGAAUGUAGACACGGUCCAGACUCCGACGGGAGGCAGCAGUGGGGAAUAUUGCACAAGGGGCGCAAGCCUGAUGCAGCCAUUCCGCGUGUGUGAAGAAGGCCUUCGGGUUGUAAAGCACUUUCAGCGAGGAGGCGUUACUCGCAGAAGAAGCACCGGCUAACUCCGUGCCAGCCGCCGCGGUAAUAC
rnacentral:rRNA from 1 species